rnacentral:rRNA from 1 species
CGCAGCUAACGCAAUAAGUAGACCGCCUGGGGAGUACGGCCGCAAGGUUAAAACUCAAAUGAAUUGACGGGGGCCCGCACAAGCGGUGGAGCAUGUGGUUUAAUUCGAUGCAACGCGAAGAACCUUACCUGGUCUUGACAUAUCUAGAAUCCUGCAGAGAUGCGGGAGUGCCUUCGGGAAUUAGAAUACAGGUGCUGCAUGGCUGUCGUCAGCUCGUGUCGUGAGAUGUUGGGUUAAGUCCCGCAACGAGCGCAACCCUUGUCCUUAGUUACCAGCGGGUUAAGCCGGGAACUCUAAGGAUACUGCCAGUGACAAACUGGAGGAAGGCGGGGACGACGUCAAGUCAUCAUGGCCCUUACGACCAGGGCUACACACGUGCUACAAUGGUAGGUACAGAGGGCAGCUACACAGCGAUGUGAUGCGAAUCUCAAAAAGCCUAUCGUAGUCCAGAUUGGAGUCUGCAACUCGACUCCAUGAAGUAGGAAUCGCUAGUAAUCGCGGAUCAGAAUGCCGCGGUGAAUACGUUCCCGGGCCUUGUACACACCGCCCGUCACACCAUGGGAGUUGAUUGCACCAGAAGUGGAUAGCCUA